AUUCCAGCUCCCAGGGCGUAUACUAGUGUUGUCGCGGUUAACAAGCUUGUAGUUGGAUUUCUGUUCAGAACGGUCCGCUUGUCCUUCCGGAAGGGUACACGAUAUGGUCUGGGCAUCUUCGCGGAGAGCUGUGCUACUCUUCAUUGGGUGGCUCGGAAUCUGCGACAUUCACCUUGAGAGAAUUUGAGUGUUUCAAGCAGGCAUGUCCUUGAAUACAUUAGCGUGGAAUAACAGCAUAGGGUUUCGGUUUUAUCUUGCUGGUACUUCGAAAUGAGAUAAUGGUGAAUAGGGGCUGCUGGGGGUUAGCGAACUACUUAGGGAAAUGUGAAAGUUUAAGAAGUCAAGAAGUCGGACCGCUGCGAACGCAUCCACCUAGAAUGUUUUCAUUG
rnacentral:rRNA from 1 species